rnacentral:tRNA from 1 species
UCAUUGGUGGUUCAGUGGUAAAAUUAUUGCCUUGCAUUCAGGAGAUACAGGUUUGAUUCCUGGCCGAUGAA